GCUCCUGGCCCUGCUCAUGGUGGCCCUGGAGGGGAGCUUCCUGGUCCGCUUCGUCUCCCGCUUCACCCAGGAGAUCUUCGCCUUCUUGAUCUCGCUCAUCUUCAUCUAUGAGACCUUCUACAAGCUGGUGAAGAUCUUCCAGGAGCACCCCCUGCAUGGCUGCUCAGCCUCCAACAGCUCAGAGGUGGACGGCGGUGAGAACAUGACAUGGGCCGUGGCAAGACCCACGCUGGGGCCGGGCAACAGGAGCUUGGCUGGGCAGUCUGGGCAGGGGAAGCCCCGGGGCCAGCCCAACACGGCCCUGCUGUCGCUGGUGCUCAUGGCCGGCACCUUCUUCAUCGCCUUCUUCCUGCGCAAAUUCAAGAACAGCCGGUUCUUUCCUGGCCGGGUGCGUGGGCUUAAAGGCCAAGAGGGGGUUAGGGGCAGGAAGGGGGGUGGCAGGAAGUCAGCGGCUCUGGUGGCAGGCCUCUGAGCGCUGUGCCUGCCCACUCAGAUCCGGCGGGUGAUUGGGGACUUUGGGGUGCCCAUCGCCAUCCUCAUCAUGGUGCUUGUGGAUUACAGUAUUGAGGACACCUAUACCCAGGUAAGGUGCUGCCCGCAGCAGGCAAGUGCUGCUGCCUCCGCCACCCCAGGUCUAGGUGUUCCCCUCCAGCCUCCAAACCCAGCCUGUCCUUAAGCUUAAGCCUGUCCUUAAGACACCAUCCCCUUUCCAUGGCAUGCCCUCCACAUUCACCUUAACCCUUGUCCCUACACUGUGUCUGCCCUGCAGAAACUGAGCGUUCCCAGUGGAUUCUCGGUGACUGCCCCAGAAAAGAGGGGCUGGGUCAUCAACCCCCUGGGAGAGAAGAGCCCCUUCCCUGUGUGGAUGAUGGUUGCCAGCCUGCUGCCCGCCAUCCUGGUCUUCAUUCUCAUCUUCAUGGAGACACAGAUCACCACGCUCAUCAUCUCCAAGAAGGAGCGCAUGCUGCAGAAGGGCUCCGGCUUCCACCUGGAC
rnacentral:sRNA from 1 species